UGAUACCUCCAAUCAGUCCCCUUUGUCCUAACCUGGAGAAUCAUUUGGUUUCUCUCUGGGAAAUAAACAGCAGUUGGUUUGAACGUGCUCUGCUUUGCCUCUACAGAUCGCUGUUUCCAGCUCCGAGGGAACGGAGUGGCCCAGGCUUAGAGCUGAGUGACAGUGAAUACUUCCUCACCUGGGCUCCAGGAUCUUCCCUCCGUGAUCCCCAUGACAUCUUGUGACAAGUUCUGUGACCUGAUUUCCAUCACUAUCGCACCUGAAGGCAUUAUCUCUGCAUCUUCCAGAUCUUCCCUAAUUGUCUAGGAAGACUCCUCAACUCACCAAGAAUCAAGGUUUUACCCAAAUUUCCCACUCUCUUUGCCAUGCCCAGAACUCGACCAUGCUGAGACCUUCCUCUACCUGAUCAAUAAAUGAUUAGCCUUGCAGUCA